rnacentral:rRNA from 1 species
UACGAAGGGGACUAGCGUUGUUCGGAAUUACUGGGCGUAAAGCGCACGUAGGCGGAUUUGUAAGUCAGGGGUGAAAUCCCGGGGCUCAACCUCGGAACUGCCUUUGAUACUGCAAAUCUCGAGUCCGAUAGAGGUGGGUGGAAUUCCUAGUGUAGAGGUGAAAUUCGUAGAUAUUAGGAAGAACACCGGUGGCGAAGGCGGCCCACUGGACUGGUAUUGACGCUGAGGUGCGAAAGCGUGGGGAGCAAACAGG